AUAUGUUACCUAUUGUACUGUUGUAUCAAGGUAACAAGUUACAGAUGUAUUAUGAUCUAUAAUUACAUUUUAGGUAAUUUCAGUUUGUACAUUUUAUCCAUUAGUGAGGUGGUCACACUGCAAUGGCAUUCAAGUCGAAUUCUUUCAUUGAUAUAAUAAAAAACAUAAUUGUUAGUUUUUUUCGCUGCUAUUUAUUUUUCAAUUGCAUUAAGGUGC